UUCCACAUCUAGAUAAAUCUGAGAGAUGGUUGUGAUCAGUCAGUUAUUUAAUUUGAAGACUGAAUUUAUUCUAUCUAAAACCAAAAAUAAAAGAUGGCUGGAUAAUAUCAAAUACUGAGUACAUAUUGACAUGUUUACAAUUACUGUUUUUCUUUAAACACUUACAUGCAUUUAUCAUUUGGGAAUACUCUAAAAUUAAUUCCUCUGAGUGAUAUUGGUUUUGUACUUGAAAGCCUAUUAAAUAACCUUGCUACAUUCCUAUACAGUGACCUCAAGAACUUAGUAAACUAUCUUCAUUUAUGAGAUUGUAGCAAUCGUACUGUUUUUCACAGUUAGGAUCUAUGUCAUGCAUUAAGUCUUUUUCUUUAUGUGCCCUAAUUAGAAAACAAGAGACAAUGCUAUUUGGAAUUUAGCUAUACUUAACUUCUUAAUCA
rnacentral:lncRNA from 1 species